rnacentral:rRNA from 1 species
UACGUAGGGGGCAAGCGUUGUCCGGAUUUAUUGGGCGUAAAGAGCUCGUAGGCGGCUUGUCGCGUCGUCCGUGAAAACCCACAGCUCAACUGUGGGCUUGCGGUCGAUACGGGCGGGCUAGAGUUCGGUAGGGGAGACUGGAAUUCCUGGUGUAGCGGUGAAAUGCGCAGAUAUCAGGAGGAACACCGGUGGCGAAGGCGGGUCUCUGGGCCGAUACUGACGCUGAGGUGCGAAAGCGUGGGGAGCAAACAGG